CCUACGGGAGGCAGCAGUGGGGAAUAUUGCACAAUGGGGGGAACCCUGAUGCAGCGACGCCGCGUGGGUGAAGGAGUAUUUCGGUAUGUAAAGCCCUAUCAGCAGGGAAGAACAAUGACGGUACCUGACUAAGAAGCACCUGCGAAAUACGUGCCAGCAGCCGCGGUAAUACGUAUGGUGCAAGCGUGAACCGGAUUUACUGGGUGUAAAGGGAGCGCAGGCGGCGCGUUAAGCCUGGGGUGAAAGCUCGCGGCCCAACCGCGGGACGGCAGUGGAAACUGGCGGGCGGGAGUGCCGGAGGGGUAGGCGGAAUGCCUAGUGUAGCGGUGAAAUGCGUAGAUAUUAGGAGGAACACCAGUGGCGAAGGCGGCCUACUGGAGGGUGACUGACGCUGAGGCUCGAAAGCGUGGGGAGCGAACAGGAUUAGAUACCCUAGUAGUC
rnacentral:rRNA from 1 species